GCCAGAGAGAUGGAUCAGCCAGGGAAGAAGAUUGAACAAGGUUCUUCCAGAAGACCAACUUUGGUACCCACACUGGAUGGCUCACAACCACCGACAAGGUCUCACUAUGUACCCCAGGCUGGUCAUGAAUUCAAGACAAUUUUCUUGCCCCUGCUGUGGCCUCUCCAGGUCUGAAAGUAUAGGACCACCAAACCAGGCAACAAUAAAAAAAUCCUUUCUUGGCAACUGAGAAAAUGUUGCCAGAAGAUGGUGCAAGAGAGGCAGUGUCAUGGUUUUCGGGGCUGCACUGCCAUCGUGUGGUUAUAAGCGGAGAUACAGAGCGUCCUCCACCUCUUGGACACCUUCGG
rnacentral:lncRNA from 1 species